GAGCGGGAGGAUGCACAAAAGGCUUCCUGGGGACUUUAGAAUUUAGCAUCCUGAAGGAAAGACCACAACUCUUGAUGAAGUGAUGAUUUUCCAAGCCACCUCACUUCCUCCUGCCUACCCUUGAGGUCCAGUUGUCCAGCUCUUCUUUAAAAGUUAUGAGGUACCCCGGCAUCUUUCCAGUACAUUUCAUUCUUGGCCUCAAAAAAAUUUUUAACAGCUUUAUGUGAUUGACACAAGAUGUGGAAGAUAUCUGAUCCUUAUGAAGAAUUCUGUGCUGGC